rnacentral:lncRNA from 1 species
UAGCUCAAUCCGUACGAUUUGAGGAGCUUGAGGGAUGUGUUCUGAGACGACGGAUAGAGUUCUAAAUUUACAGAGGUAGGUAUUAGCCUUAGCCAAUCUCCAGUCGCAUGAGGACAUCAUGGAGGUCUCCCACCUAUCUGCAAAGGCGGCUAGGCUUCAAAGAGUUUCGCAGAGUGGAUUUGAUUUUUUGAGUAGAGAGAUCAGGAGCUCCAGUGAGACUGUCUCUACUCAGAUUGGUGCCUUGAUGCAGUCUAUGAUGAGAGCUGUGGAAUAAUUGGAUACUAUCAG